AGCCUCUGACUUCACCUGGGUGCUGACUGUUCCUGCAAUCUGGGAUCCUUCAGCUAAACAGUUCAUGAGAGAAGCUGCAACUCAGGCAGGUCUUGUGACAGAAGGAACAGAAGACAAACUGUUGAUUGCUCUGGAACCAGAAGCAGCUUCAAUCUGGUGUAAGAAGCUUCCUCCUUAUGGUUUCAUCACACAGAACCACAACAAAGAGUCACUGGAUCAGUCUCCAGGGACUCAGUACAUCGUUGUCGACUGUGGAGGAGGAACUAUUGACAUCACUGUUCAUGAAGUCAUGGAAGAAGGAGCCUUGAAGGAGCUGCACAAGGCCUCUGGAAAUAACCUGGGAGGACAAACUGUGGAUGGAAACUUUAAAAGGUUUCUGAGAAAGAUUUUUCCUGAUGGAGUGUGGGAUGAAUAUGAACAAAAACACCCCAGUGGUGCUCAUAAAAUUAUGUAUGAGUUUACCCGUCUCAAACAGGUUGAUCAAGAUGUUCAACUCUGUGUCCCAUUUACACUGGGAUCAUUAGCUAUGCAUAAAUCAGGAACAGAAGAUUUUAUUGCUUCAGAGCAGGGGGCUUCCUGCGACGAUGGAUUUAUCAAAAUCUCAAGAGACAAACUGAGAUCUUUCUUUGAAAAAAGUCUACAGGGCAU